UGCGAGCGGCGCCGCACGGCGAUGCGGUGCUCUCGUGCGUGACGCGGGGCAAGCCCACGCCGACCCUCGCCUGGCUCAAGAACGGGGAGCCGCUGUCGCCCAACGACCACGACAUCGCGCUGCUGGACAACUCGUCGUUGCGCAUCCAGGGCGUGCUGCCGGUGGACGCCGGCGUGUUCCAGUGCUUCGUGACGUCACCCGGGGGCAGUGCCGCCGCCGCCGUGCGCCUGCUGGUCGUGGACCCGCCGCCAGUUCCCCCGCGGUCUAACUCGACACCGGCCACACUAGCCAGCCCCUCUCCCGCUCCAGACUACUAUGAAGAUCUAGACCUGGGCGAGACAUCCUCGGCGUAUACGCUGGGCCCCGACCUCCAAUACGAUCACUUAUCUUAUGAUUAUUUUCACGCUGACGAAGGACCGGCUGUUAAUGCGACUGUCGUCUCUAUGCCGACACAGUUAAGGGCAGUUAUUGUGAAGCACAGGUUUGUAACGCUGAGCUGGGAGGAACCCGAACACAAGUUAGAAGAAAUCACCGGAUACGCCGUGUUCUACAAAGUAAAGGGCAGCAAAAGAGAACGCAUGGCGAACGGCGGCGCGACCCGGCACGAGAUGAACGUGGCGUCGCUACAACCCAACACCACUUACGUGUUCACCGCGCAGGCAUUCACGCGUAGUGCUGCCUCGCCGCACACAACCCCGUUAGAGGUGACGACCCCCGGCGAGGAGGUGAUCUACGGGCCCCCGCAAGACGUGCGCGUGGAACCGCUCGGAGCGCACGCCCUGCGCGUGUCGUGGUCGC